rnacentral:rRNA from 1 species
GGGUUGUGAGGUUAAGCGACUAAGCGUACACGGUGGAUGCCCUGGCAGUCAGAGGCGAUGAAGGACGUGCUAAUCUGCGAAAAGCGUCGGUAAGGUGAUAUGAACCGUUAUAACCGGCGAUGUCCGAAUGGGGAAACCCAGUGCAAUUCGUUGCACUAUCGUUAACUGAAUACAUAGGUUAACGAGGCGAACCGGGGGAACUGAAACAUCUAAGUACCCCGAGGAAAAGAAAUCAACCGAGAUUCCCCCAGUAGCGGCGAGCGAACGGGGAGCAGCCCAGAGUCUGAAUCAGCUUGUGUGUUAGUGGAACGGUCUGGAAAGUCCGACGGUACAGGGUGAUAGUCCCGUACACCAAAAUGCACAGGUUGUGAACUCGAAGAGUAGGGCGGGACACGUGGUAUCCUGUCUGAAUAUGGGGGGACCAUCCUCCAAGGCUAAAUACUCCUGACUGACCGAUAGUGAACCAGUACCGUGAGGGAAAGGCGAAAAGAACCCCGGCGAGGGGAGUGAAAAAGAACCUGAAACCGUGUACGUACAAGCAGUGGGAGCACCUUCGGGUGUGACUGCGUACCUUUUGUAUAAUGGGUCAGCGACUUAUAUUCUGUAGCAAGGUUAACCGUAUAGGGGAGCCGCAGGGAAACCGAGUCUUAACUGGGCGUUAAGUUGCAGGGUAUAGACCCGAAACCCGGUGAUCUAGCCAUGGGCAGGUUGAAGGUUGGGUAACACUAACUGGAGGACCGAACCGACUAAUGUUGAAAAAUUAGCGGAUGACUUGUGGCUGGGGGUGAAAGGCCAAUCAAACCGGGAGAUAGCUGGUUCUCCCCGAAAGCUAUUUAGGUAGCGCCUCGUGAACUCAUCUUCGGGGGUAGAGCACUGUUUCGGCUAGGGGGUCAUCCCGACUUACCAACCCGAUGCAAACUACGAAUACCGAAGAAUGUUAUCACGGGAGACACACGGCGGGUGCUAACGUCCGUCGUGAAGAGGGAAACAACCCAGACCGCCAGCUAAGGUCCCAAAGUCAUGGUUAAGUGGGAAACGAUGUGGGAAGGCACAGACAGCCAGGAUGUUGGCUUAGAAGCAGCCAUCAUUUAAAGAAAGCGUAAUAGCUCACUGGUCGAGUCGGCCUGCGCGGAAGAUGUAACGGGGCUAAACCAUGCACCGAAGCUGCGGCAGCGACACUAUGUGUUGUUGGGUAGGGGAGCGUUCUGUAAGCCUGCGAAGGUGACCUGUGAGGGUUGCUGGAGGUAUCAGAAGUGCGAAUGCUGACAUAAGUAACGAUAAAGCGGGUGAAAAGCCCGCUCGCCGGAAGACCAAGGGUUCCUGUCCAACGUUAAUCGGGGCAGGGUGAGUCGACCCCUAAGGCGAGGCCGAAAGGCGUAGUCGAUGGGAAACAGGUUAAUAUUCCUGUACUUGGUGUUACUGCGAAGGGGGGACGGAGAAGGCUAUGUUAGCCGGGCGACGGUUGUCCCGGUUUAAGCAUGUAGGCUGGUUGUCCAGGCAAAUCCGGAUAAUCAAGGCUGAGGUGUGAUGACGAGGCACUACGGUGCUGAAGUAACAAAUGCCCUGCUUCCAGGAAAAGCCUCUAAGCAUCAGGUAACAUCAAAUCGUACCCCAAACCGACACAGGUGGUCAGGUAGAGAAUACCAAGGCGCUUGAGAGAACUCGGGUGAAGGAACUAGGCAAAAUGGUGCCGUAACUUCGGGAGAAGGCACGCUGGUGUGUAGGUGAAGCCCCUGCGGGUGGAGCUGAGACCAGUCGAAGAUACCAGCUGGCUGCAACUGUUUAUUAAAAACACAGCACUGUGCAAACACGAAAGUGGACGUAUACGGUGUGACGCCUGCCCGGUGCCGGAAGGUUAAUUGAUGGGGUUAUCCGUAAGGAGAAGCUCUUGAUCGAAGCCCCGGUAAACGGCGGCCGUAACUAUAACGGUCCUAAGGUAGCGAAAUUCCUUGUCGGGUAAGUUCCGACCUGCACGAAUGGCGUAAUGAUGGCCAGGCUGUCUCCACCCGAGACUCAGUGAAAUUGAACUCGCUGUGAAGAUGCAGUGUACCCGCGGCAAGACGGAAAGACCCCGUGAACCUUUACUAUAGCUUGACACUGAACAUUGAGCCUUGAUGUGUAGGAUAGGUGGGAGGCUUUGAAGCGUGGACGCCAGUCUGCGUGGAGCCAACCUUGAAAUACCACCCUUUAAUGUUUGAUGUUCUAACGUUGGCCCCUUACCGGGGUUGCGGACAGUGUCUGGUGGGUAGUUUGACUGGGGCGGUCUCCUCCCAAAGCGUAACGGAGGAGCACGAAGGUUAGCUAAUCCUGGUCGGACAUCAGGAGGUUAGUGCAAUGGCAUAAGCUAGCUUGACUGCGAGCGUGACGGCGCGAGCAGGUGCGAAAGCAGGUCAUAGUGAUCCGGUGGUUCUGAAUGGAAGGGCCAUCGCUCAACGGAUAAAAGGUACUCCGGGGAUAACAGGCUGAUACCGCCCAAGAGUUCAUAUCGACGGCGGUGUUUGGCACCUCGAUGUCGGCUCAUCACAUCCUGGGGCUGAAGUAGGUCCCAAGGGUAUGGCUGUUCGCCAUUUAAAGUGGUACGCGAGCUGGGUUUAGAACGUCGUGAGACAGUUCGGUCCCUAUCUGCCGUGGGCGCUGGAGAAUUGAGGGGGGCUGCUCCUAGUACGAGAGGACCGGAGUGGACGCAUCACUGGUGUUCGGGUUGUCAUGCCAAUGGCACUGCCCGGUAGCUAAAUGCGGAAGAGAUAAGUGCUGAAAGCAUCUAAGCACGAAACUUGCCCCGAGAUGAGUUCUCCCUGAGACUUUAAGUCUCCUGAAGGAACGUU